rnacentral:rRNA from 1 species
GAUGAACGCUGGCGGCGUGCCUAAUACAUGCAAGUCGAGCGAACAGACGAGGAGCUUGCUCCUCUGACGUUAGCGGCGGACGGGUGAGUAACACGUGGAUAACCUACCUAUAAGACUGGGAUAACUUCGGGAAACCGGAGCUAAUACCGGAUAAUAUAUUGAACCGCAUGGUUCAAUAGUGAAAGACGGUUUUGCUGUCGCUUAUAGAUGGAUCCGCGCCGCAUUAGCUAGUUGGUAAGGUAACGGCUUACCAAGGCGACGAUGCGUAGCCGACCUGAGAGGGUGAUCGGCCACACUGGAACUGAGACACGGUCCAGACUCCUACGGGAGGCAGCAGUAGGGAAUCUUCCGCAAUGGGCGAAAGCUUGACGGAGCAACGCCGCGUGAGUGAUGAAGGUCUUCGGAUCGUAAAACUCUGUUAUUAGGGAAGAACAAAUGUGUAAGUAACUAUGCACGUCUUGACGGUACCUAAUCAGAAAGCCACGGCUAACUACGUG